ACGCACGCUGGCGGCGUGCUUAACACAUGCAAGUCGAACGGGAUCCGGGCUUUCGGGUUUGGUGAGAGUGGCGAACGGGUGAGUAACACGUGAGUAACCUGCCCCCUUCUUUGGGAUAACGUCGGGAAAUCGGCGCUAAUACUGGAUAUUCUUGCUGCAUCGCAUGGUGUGGUUUGGAAAGGGUUUCUGGUGGGGGAUGGGCUCGCGGCCUAUCAGCUUGUUGGUGGGGUGAUGGCCUACCAAGGCUUUGACGGGUAGCCGGCCUGAGAGGGUGUCCGGCCACACUGGGACUGAGACACGGCCCAGACUCCGACGGGAGGCAGCAGUGGGGAAUAGUGCACAAUGGGCGCAGGCCUGAUGCAGCGACGCCGCGUGAGGGAUGACGGCCUUCGGGUUGUAAACCUCUUUCAGUAUGGAACAAGGAUCCUUCGUUUGGGGGGUUUGAGGGUACGUGCAGAAGAAGCGCCGGCUAACUACGUG
rnacentral:rRNA from 1 species